AGAGUUUGAUCCUGGCUCAGAAUGAACGUUGGCGGCGUGGAUUAGGCAUGCAAGUCGAACGAGUCUCUGGGGGGUAACUCCUAGAGGAAAGUGGCGAAAGGGGCAGUAAUGUAUGGGUAACCUACCUUGAGGUCUGGGAUAGCUAUUCUAACGGAUAGGUAAUACUGGACGGCCUAAGUUGUCGGCAUCGACGAUUUAGUAAAGGUUACGCCUCGAGAGGGGCCCAUAUGAUAUUAGCUAGUUGGUGGGGUGAUGGCCCACCAAGGCAAAGAUGUCUAGCGGGUGUGAGAGCACGACCCGCGUCAUUGGCACUGAGACACUGGCCAAACUCCUACGGGAGGCUGCAGUCGAGGAUCUUCGGCAAUGGACGAAAGUCUGACCGAGCAACGCCGCGUGUGCGAUGAAGGCCUUCGGGUUGUAAAGCACUGUCGAGGGGAAACAAGCCGUAAGGUUGAGUGACCCCUGGAGGAAGCACGGGCUAAGUUCGUGCCAGCAGCCGCGGUAAGACGAACCGUGCAAACGUUAUUCGGAAUCACUGGGCUUAAAGGGCGCGUAGACGGGUGAUCAAGUCAAUGGUGAAAUCCUCCAGCUUAACUGGAGAAGUGCCUUUGAUACUGAUUGUCUAGAGGGAGGUAGGGGCAUGUGGAACUUCAGGUGGAGCGGUGAAAUGCGUAGAUAUCUGAAGGAACGCCAGUGGCGAAAGCGAUGUGCUGGACCUCUUCUGACGCUGAGGCGCGAAAGCUAGGGGAUCAAACGGGAUUAGAUACCCUGGUAGUCCAA
rnacentral:rRNA from 1 species